rnacentral:lncRNA from 1 species
CCCAUUCACCUUUCCAUCCAUAUCUAUCUCCCAAAGCCCCAUCAAAUCCCUUUGAACCACUAUAUCAUCAUCCAAGAACAGAAUCUUAUGCAACUUUGGAUACAUUUCGGGUAAAUAGAACCUGAGAUGAUUCAAAAUUGAUAGAUAUUUUGGAUUUCUAAACUUCAUAUUUGUUGUAUCCUUUGUUGCAUUCUCAAGCUUAUUCUCAAAGUAAAACUUCUGUAAGUUGGCAGACUCAAGCUGUUUAAGCACUGGAACAUAAGAGGAAUUCAAGAAUUUGUAAUCCUCCACAGCCUUCACUUCAAUAUGAGCCCCAUUAUAAUCCCUCAUUUUGAACAUCACUUGCAUAGCCCCGAGAUUCAUUUUAUCUGUUACUACAUGAAACACGUGCUUCCAUGGCUCUCUCGAGUUUUUCACAGCUGAGUUCACCACAACAGAAGCAGCAAUUACAUUAUCCGAGAAAAUUGCAUAAUGAUAAAGCUUUGGGUCCUCCAAUUCCAUCUUGGGGGGCUUCCCUUCGUCUGUAUACUUAUCAGGAUGUGCAAUUCGUUCUUCCAUCAACCUUAAAGCCAAGCAAUGCAAGCUUUUGGGGAUCGACUUGGCAGCAAUCAAGCUUGAGAAAGCACCCUGUUUUUUCGCUUUCGUCAACUGUUCAUUUAAUGCAAAGAUAUUAUCUUUCAGCUUAUGAAUUUUCAGCUGAUUAUCAAAAGAUUCUUUCGCCUCGGAAAUCACUUGUCGUGUGACUUUAAUUUGUGCUUUGACGUCUUUCUCGAACUGUCUCAGCACUGACUCAUCAAUUGAAUUUGUCUCUGCAUCAAACAAUGCCUGAUAAGAAGGUUUUGAGAGCAGAUUUGUGUAGUUAUGAGAGAGUUCCGCAAAAAUCCUAACAAGCUUUGAAUUUUCAAGCUUCAGUUUUCGUGCAUAGGAACCAUAUGCUAAAGCUAAACUUCUAUGAUCCCCUGCUUGUUUCCGUAUUUGAUCUAUCCGAGGCCUUAAUGGAUCCGAUUUUAGUGCCAGAACUGAUCUUCGGAUUGAUCCCGAGCUAAAUCCAUAUGAAUCAACAGGAAAACCCUAAAAUUACAGAAAUAAAAAUCAACACAUUUUGGUCAUAUGCUGAGAUUAACAUUAAGCGAAAAAUACAGAGAGAUGCGAGGACAUGAAAAGUAAUUAAACCGACAAAAAAACGUAACAAGAUCAAUGAAUUCGAAGACAAAUUAAUAAUCAUAUCAGAGGGUGAGAGAAAUUCAUGUACUGUGCAUAACGAUGAAAAGAUCCAAAACAUGUCUCAACAGCCCCAUUCACCUUUCCAUCCAUAUCUAUCUCCCAAAGCCCCGUCAAAUCCCUUUGAACCACUAUAUCAUCAUCCAAGAACAGAAUCUUAUGCAACUUUGGAUACAUUUCGGGUAAAUAGAACCUGAGAUGAUUCAAAAUUGAUAGAUAUUUUGGAUUUCUAAACUUCAUAUUUGUUGUAUCCUUUGUUGCAUUCUCAAGCUUAUUCUCAAAGUAAAACUUCUGUAAGUUGGCAGACUCAAGCUGUUUAAGCACUGGAACAUAAGAAGAAUUCAAGAAUUUGUAAUCCUCCACAGCCUUCACUUCAAUAUGAGCCCCAUAAUAAUCCCUCAUCUUGAACAUCACUUGCAUAGCCCCGAGAUUCAUUUUAUCUGUUACUACAUGAAACACGUGCUUCCAUGGCUCUCUCGAGUUUUUCACAGCUGAGUUCACCACAACAGAAGCAGCAAUUACAUUAUCCGAGAAAAUUGCAUAAUGAUAAAGCUUUGGGUCCUCCAAUUCCAUCUUGGGGGGCUUCCCUUCAUCUGUAUACUUAUCAGGAUGUGCAAUUCGUUCUUCCAUCAACCUUAAAGCCAAGCAAUGCAAGCUUUUGGGGAUUGACUUGGCAGCAAUCAAGCUUGAGAAAGCACCCUGUUUUUUCGCUUUCGUCAACUGUUCAUUUAAUGCAAAGAUAUUGUCUUUCAGCUUGUGAAUCUUCAGCUGAUUAUCAAAAGAUUCUUUUGCCUCUGAAAUUACUUGUCGUGUGACUUUAAUUUGUGCUUUGACGUCUUUCUCGAACUGUCUCAGCACUGACUCGUCAAUUGAAUUUGUCUCUGCAUCAAACAAUGCCUGAUAAGAAGGUUUUGAGAGCAGAUUUGUGUAGUUAUGAGAGAGUUCCGCAAAAAUCCUAACAAGCUUUGAAUUUUCAAGCUUCAGUUUUCGUGCAUAGGAACCAUAUGCUAAAGCUAAACUUCUAUGAUCCCCUGCUUGUUUCCGAAUCUGAUAU